GACGAACGCUGGCGGCGUGCCUAACACAUGCAAGUCAGGGAGAAAGGGGUAGCAAUAUCCCGAGUAAACCGGCGCAAGGGUGAGUAACGCGUAGGUAAUCUGCCCUUAGGACGGGAAUAACUUCGAGAAAUCGAGGAUAAUACCCGAUGAAAUCUCGAUGCGGCAUCGCAUUGAGAUCAAAGGUCCGCAAGGACGCCCAAGGAUGAACCUGCGUCCCAUUAGGUAGUUGGCGGGGUAAUGGCCCACCAAGCCGACGAUGGGUAGCUGGUCUGAGAGGACGAUCAGCCACACUGGAACUGAGACACGGUCCAGACUCCUACGGGUGGCUG
rnacentral:rRNA from 1 species